AUUCUGAGAAAUAGAGCGACCUCGGGAUACUUCACCGAGCGCGAAGAGUGGAAGGGAGAAUUGCACCAUCACUUUCUAAAAGUUUAACAUUGUUGUUUCACGACAACAUACAACUAAAAAAAAGUGCUUUCCCCUCGGCCACCACAGCAUCCGUCUCCCUGUCGCCCAUGCAGCCGAGUCGCACACCAGGAAGGAAAGGGAAGUGAACACGUCGUUUGCAUAGCUGGGACCUGAGCCCUUGGACCAUGCCUCAGGACUACCUGGCCUGAUGACUCCUUGCUGUCCCCAGUCCACCUGGUCGUGCUGCUGCUCCAGUUUCAACUGUUCUUCUAUAUAUAUAUAUAUUCUUAUUCCAUCCCUUUACUUAGACUUGUGUGUAUUAGGUAGGUGCUGUGGAAUUGUAA
ensembl:lncRNA